ACUCAAAGGAAUAGACGGGGGCCCGCACAAGCAGCGGAGCGUGUGGUUUAAUUCGAGGCUACACGAAGAACCUUACCUGGGUUUGACAUACAAGUGGUAGUGAACCGAAAGGGGAACGACCUUCGGGAGCUUGAACAGGUGCUGCAUGGCUGUCGUCAGCUCGUGCCGUGAGGUGUUCGGUUAAGUCCGCAAACGAGCGCAACCCCUGGGACUAGUUACACGUGUCUAGUCCGACUGCCCGUGAGAAACGGGAGGAAGGUGGGGAUGAUGUCAAGUCAGCAUGGCCUUUAUAUCCAGGGCUACACACACGCUACAAUGGGCGGUACAAUGGGUCGCGAAGCCGCGAGGCGGAGCCAAUCCUGAAAGCCGUUCGUAGUUCGGAUUGCAGGCUGCAACUCGCCUGCAUGAAGUCGGAGUUGCUAGUAACCGCAGGUCAGCUAUACUGCGGUGAAUACGUUCCCGGGCCUUGCACACACCGCCCGU
rnacentral:rRNA from 1 species